UAGGCCGCCAUUUUUGUUAAGGGAAAGUUGCCCUCGCAGGUGCCAUCUUGUGGAGGGGCAGAUCCUCACACCUCAGCAAGGCGUGGACAGAGCGCGGGCGGACAGUUUGAGAUGCAGCUCCGGUAUGCUGCAGGGUUUCCCUUUGCACGUGGAAAUGGCUCGUGGUUAGGGACAGGAGCCGUUACGGAGGUAUGUACACACUUAAAACUGAGAAAUGAAAUUUCUGCCAAGACAUCUUGCCAUUGCAAUAAACUGAUGAGCCUUGGUUGGAGCAGCGAGGUAUCCAUCAAAGAACGAACCACGGAUUCUGCUAUUUGGAAGUACUGCCUCAGGACCUGGUGAAUGUUUGUGAUGGAUGAACAGGUGUCUCAGACAGCUGCACAUCAGCCACAUCUGUGGAAGUCUGGAGCACACUGAGGAUAGUCCUGUCAGGAGGACAGCAAUGAAUGUACAGCGGUACCACUUUAAUAUCAGGUAUUAAUCUUUAAUUUCACAUCACAGCAGUCGAGUGAAUGGGUAAGGGAAAGAAAUCCAAAACAAACAGCGGAUAUUUACAUCUAAAAUUCACACCACUUAUUUGUUGAUUCUGGAAACAUGCUAUCACAAUAUAUACAAUGAAGUACCUUUAGGACACUUGUACAAAUUAUUUUUUUCCUUUUCAAUUUGAUUUCCAUUAUAGAUAAGAUAGCUGUUCUGAUUUUAUUUUAAACAUGAAUACACAAAAGAGAAGUGGUUAGAGGUUUUUGCCUGUUUUAAAUAAGCACAGAAUGCCAGAGGUUAAAAACACAUUUACAGGGCAGAAUACCAGUCGGACAUCACAAUCUAUACAUUUUUUGCUCAAUUUCCUGUACAAAUACACAGCAUUCAAAUGGGGGUAUUUACAAAGAAGCAUGAAUAGAAGAAAUACCGCUUAAUUUGUUUACCAAAGGCUCUUGCCCUCUCCAGCCUCCCCAGUUUUGGCUGAUUCUCCCAAAACAGGGAUAUGGGAUAUCCCUUACCUGAAAAAUGGUAAGCAGGCUAAAAAGUAGAUGAAGGAAAGGAUAGAUAAGAAUCAUAGUUUUGCACGCAGCAAUAAAACCAACCCAGCCAUUGAAAAAAUUUGUAGGAUUCAGACAACAAUUCUAAUUGGUCUUCUUCUAUUACUGUAGUUUCUUCUCACUUUUGUUUCAGAUGGGGCCUGCAGGUACGCUCAUGAUGGAGAGAUGUGCUGCAGAAUUCCAAUUGUUUCAGGAAUGCACAUGCUGUUCUGUUAUGCAAAGAAAACCCAAGGAAGGCAAGGAUGCAUUACAUCUGAAUCAGUUACGUACAGAACAAAUGGGUCCUGUUCAAACAUCCUGUUACUGCGGUUUAUACAAAGAAUCUUCAAAUCUUGUUGCACCAGUGCAACAACUGCAGUUGCUUCCACCUGCUCCAGGACUGAGUUUGCUGAUGGAGUUGCACUAUACUAGAAAGCCACCCCACCCUCCAGAGAAGUAUUAGUUCCAUGAAGUACUUGUUCCACAUUCACAAAACCUAACAGCAGUCUACCUUCUGCACCCUUUAAGUUAAGCACUGAAAAGGGCGACAGAAUGUGUAGUAGAUAACAGAACAACAGAAAGUUAACUCCACACAGGCUCAAAUUUAGUAAAUUCAGUCAUUUAUUCCAUCCUCCUUUGUGUGCACCUGCCAUAAAUUGGAUAUUUGUGUACACCAUUUGAUUAUCUUCAACCCCCUAUGAAUACAUUGUAAUGACAGACACUCAGAAUGGUCAGGCUGCUGUUGUACAGCCCCUCUAAUCAGAGCAAGGUGGUGCACUGCCAGAGACUGAUGGGAGCUCCAGGGCAGGUCUUCCAGCAGAAUGGGACUUCGCCCCAUGUUAUCUGCAUUCUUGCUUUUGCAGUUUUAUUUGCAGGACCUGCUGUUUUUUUUGUUUUGUUUUUACAAUGAAGAAGUUCAGUAUAUCAGUACAUUUACUACUUUCAGAAGUAAAUUUUCUACCAAAAAAAAAAAAACAAAAAAAAAACCCCAAACCAACCAAAACCAAAUGUGAUUAGGGAAAUGGAAUUGAGUACUUAAUUCUCUUAAAAGUUUCUAAGAAUCUCAAAUUAGAGAAUAACAUAAAAAUUUUUCACUCACUUCUAAGGAAUUACCUUGACUUACCUUCAUUGAAAACAUAACUCUGAAUUGAGCUUUCAUACCUGUGUGCUAUACCAGAGACCCAGCUUGGUUCAUUAGCAGCUAGGGCUAGUCCUACUACUGGAAAACUCUUGCUCCUGUUAGAGAUGAAAUGGCCACCAUGUGCCGGAUUUUAGUAUCAUUCUCUUCUUAAUUGUGAAGGUUGCAGGGAUUACAAACAGCCUAUGCUAAUAACAAACUAGAGGAAGCACAAGAGACUUUGUUCCAGCCAAAUGGACCAUUUAAGAAACAAAACCAUAAUUUAUUACUUUUGUAUGGACUAGAGCUUGAAAAAGAAAAAAAAGAGACAUCCUCUUAAAAUCCCCUUCAUACGACAGCUGACCAAGCCCAGACUUUGUACAGAUGAGAUGGUCUCAUCUUUAGGAGAGUCCAGAAGCAACAUUCUCUGCCCAGUCACUGUAUUUAGAGGUAGUGCUAAAGGUGACCUGUAAAAGAUGCGUAUCCUUUUUUGCUUCUUUAUGCUGUUUGUAGCAGGAGAAACUGAGUGACUAGGGGAAGAAUGGGACACGUUGAUGCUAUCCCUGUUUCUGACACUAAUUUACAUGGUGGAGGUAAGUCUCUUGUUUGAAUGUGCUUCAGUUUUUUCAGUGGUAACUUACCAUAUUCUGGAGUGUGCUUUGCAGUCUGCAGGUAGAAAUGAAUGUAAGGAAAGGCCAAAAUGUGUGGUGGCACAGCAGCAGGAAAGAGCAUUACUUCUUUAUAUAAAAACACUAGAUACCUGCUUUUUUUGAUCAAGUUUCUUGAAAAAUAUGAAAAUAGGAAUAGAGGAUUUCUUCUAGUUCUUUUUACACCACAGGUCUUGCCUCUGUUAUCACAGAACUUUUUCCUGUCUUGUAAUGUAACUCAACAAAGCAAAUACUGAUUAAAAGGCUUGCUUCACACAUAUAUGUUUGUACUGACUCCACUUCUGCAUAGUUCUGUUUCUUGUUUUUGUUUGAUUUUUUUUUCUUUUUUCUUUUUUUCUAAAUCUCCCACCUGCACUGAAUUCUUCAUCCCUUUCUGGAGCCUGACCAUAAAAAAAAAGCCAGGGGGGGAAGGCUGUAUCACCACACGAAGAGAAAAGAACCAAAACCUUCAAAAAGAGAGAAGGAGCUCUUAUAACUUCUUCAUACUUUCUAAAGAAGCAAAGGAAGAAAGAAAUGUUCCUUCUUUACAGGUUGCCUUUAAGAUUUCUGACUCUAGGGUGCACGCUACACUGGGCAUUUCUUGCAUCUGCCUAUUGUGAAAGAUGGACAUCCUCCACACCAGCUGCAGUGACUUUUGGAGGGGGGCUGAGGAAUGAUGGUUUUGGGUAAUGGAUCUCAGCUCCUGGGUGAUGGAAGUUAGUGAGAACUGUGAUGUUCAGCCCUGAGGCAAGGAGUGGUGGAUGUUAUGCAUCUAAGCCACAUUUUCUUAACUGGUGAGUCAUCAACCAGCUGUGGCAUGAAGAACUUUUUAUUUUCUUUUAACUGGAAUAGAAAUGCUGGUGUUGACAGCCUGCCGAAAGCUGGGCAUGGGAAAGGCCUACAAUCAAGUCACAGCUCCAGUGGCUACUAACCUCCCCCUCAUCCUGUAGCACAGAUGAACAGCAUGACUCCAUUGAGAAAGCAGGUUGGUUUAGCCAGUGAAAGCAAAUUUUAAGAAAUCAAACAGUACAUAAAAAACAAAGGAGGCAGAGUUUGUUGGAAAUGGUAUCUUGGACAUCAGUGCAUCAGCACUGGUUAGAUUGCCUCAGCACCUAUGAACCAAUGCAGGGAGAUCACUGCACAGAUAUAUACAAUCCUGCUCUCAAAAGAGCCAAUAUCUUCUUAGAAUUGCCAUCUUUCCACUGCCUGCUGGUCAUGCACCUUCCAGACUGACAGUUCAUAAAAUCCCUGAUUUCAGCAAUGAGCUUUCACUUCUGUACAGCAAUAAAAUAUGUCCCUAGUGCAACCACUUCUACUCAAGUGUGUCCCAGAGCUGGGAGGAAAGUAGUUUCAAAAUCAGCUUGCCACCUUUUCUCCUUCCUCCUCUGCUUAAAAUUGUAUUUUUCAGCUUCUGCAAGUCUCUAUGGCUUGUGUGCCAUGUGGUGCGCUUAAGAAACUGCAGAAGGAAUAACCAUCCACUGCACAGAAAGUUAAAAAAAAUGUAACGGAAAGGUGUAAAAAGAAAUUCGAAAGGAAAGCAGCAAUGUCCCUUGCUGGCCCAGUUGUGUAUGCGGGCUCCAGCCAAGCUUGUGGCAGUAGAAGUCAGCUUGCUGUUCUCUGAGUCCUCAGCUCUGUGCUCUGGUCACACCUGGAAU